UGUCGAACCAAAAUUCGUUACAAACUAAUGCAAGGCACCAUGGAUCCCCGACAUUGGUUCUCUUUCCAAGUUUGUUGACAAGGAACUCUCGCGAUAGUUAUUCACAAAGUCGAGGAACGUCAGCGAUAUUGGAAAAGGAGUAUCUCUGGGUACGUUCCAGAACAGAGCUAGCUUGUAUAGCGAUCCGUCUAUUUGUCUGGUUUUGUCGAUAAGUAUAAUUGUUGAGGAAUAUAUAUCACCUUAUAUGCAUUAACGGUGGAGCAACUGGACAUGCUUAGUUGUCUGCUAGCAAGUGUGACAACAGUGAAGAAGACUCACCACGCGUUAGCUACAAUGUAUGUCCCGUAGCAACGACGAACGCUUGUUUGUCUAGAUAGGUACUGUAGCUAGAGUAGCAGCUACGGUUAGUCAGUAACUAUCCGCUACUUAUUAUUUGCUAUACACUAAUGUUAUUGCCAACUAUAUGCAGGCUUAACUUAGCUAGCUAGACAACGAAGUUUUAUUUUUGACCAGACCAAGAUCAGCAAGUGAUACUUGCAAACUGAGUAUCGUUAGCUAUGAAUAGCUAGCUAUUUUGCUACUUUCUUUGCUAAUUAUAACAAGCUAAUAGUCUGUUUUGUAGCUACAGUCACUAUUAUGUCCAAUUUGAAUGAUCGAUGGCACUCACUGUAAACAGAAGGGUUUUCAAGUACCUAUUUUCUGAAUACUUCUUUCACGUUAGCCACCACAAUGAGAUUAAAGACAUCAUUACUCAAGGAACCAAAACA
ensembl:lncRNA